AGAUUUUUGUAUCUUUGCUGCACCUCGAAGCCAGGGCAAGUACUGGGCAGAUGCAUCUUUGGCAGAGGUGGACAAGGCUAACCCAAAAUGGAGAGAGAGAUCCCUUUUGAUGUCCCUGCAACGUUGAACAAGCAGGAUGAAUAGUCACCCUCGAGAACGCAGGGCAUGUGGUGACCAACUGAUUUGGUUCAAGCUGGCCAAUGCGUUUUGUUACGUGUGCAUGACUUUUUUAAAGCAAAAGGCAAUAAAGCAGUUAAAAAAUUUGCAGUAUCAGUGACGUAAGUAGCAAAAGAGUCAAAAAUUUUUUAAAGAAAAUAAAUUUCCUUUGUUCAACUGCCUGUGACA
rnacentral:lncRNA from 1 species